rnacentral:lncRNA from 1 species
UGACACUCAUUUCCCCGCGAUUGCUCGACACAAGGCCAGCUCUCCUUCGAGCUCCUCUAUUCUUGUGAUCAAAGCCUUUGUCGUGGCCAUUGUUUCCUCCGUCAAAGCCAUCAUCAUGGCCUUGAGAGCAUCGUUCGUCUCCGUCAGCUUCUUCCUUUAGGAAUCUAGCAACUCUUGCACGCUAUCCCUUUGGGAAGUGAGACACAUGGUCACAAAGUCCUUAGACUGCUCCCUCAAGUCUUUAAUGCUUUCCUCAGGCGCAUUGUCCGACUCUUUUGCAUCCUC